UACUUCAACGAAAGACAUAAUUUAUUUUUUAGUCUUGAUGGCUGAAUCAUGAAAAGUUUUUUUUUUCUUUCGUGCACUCAGUUUGGCGGAGAGACGUGUUCCUGCCUGUUGUAGGGGGAAAAAAAAAAGAAAAGAAAAAAAGAAAAGCAUCAUAUAGCCUAGUAAUUUUUCCACUCACAGGUAAGGGCGAGUUUCGAACCAGCGCCUAUUGCUCACAAAUAAGUCGAGCGACUGACGAGCUGACGAGACGAAUACUUUUUUGAGGAAAAUUCCUUCAUGAAUACUAGGCAGCUAAUAAAAGUCUCCAUCUCUCUCUCUCAUGCACUCUACAUGCUCCCAUAAAAAUAAAAAACUGAAGGAGAAUUAUAGUUCGUUCUGGAAAUAAAUCCACAAGAAGACCUGUUGUUACAGUUGAGGACGCGAGCAGGCAAGGCCACCUUGUUUUUUCGCAGAAGCUUGUAGUUUUUUUUUUUUUAAUCCUCGCCAUCUUUUCAAUGCAAAUCAUUGACGAGCUCUAGGAAAAAUGAUUGGAGGAGUAGCCAGAGAACUGGAGGAGAAGAUGCACAGAUAGGCAGCAUCUUGUAGGAGGAAGUUUGGUGCAGGAUAUCGACAGCUACUCUCCACGCGCUGCUGCUGCUGCUGCAAGCGAGGUCACGCCGUGACCCAGUAUGACAGCUUGUACUCCUCUCCAGUUCCCUCCCUGCUCCCCAUUCCCCCCUCCCCCUGUGAGCUGUGCCACCGCCCUCUCUGCACUUCCCCUCCCGUUCUCCUCCAGCCACCGCCGGCAUGCGCAGUCGCCGUGACCUUUUCCCUUCGACCUCGCGCGUACGGCGAGCUGCCUGGCCUUUAAACUAUUUAUAGCCUGCACUGGGUGAGUUUAGCUGCAGCCACCCGCAUUUAGCCCCGUAACCGAACAAAGGAGGCUAAAUUUGGCUCUGCGGAAGCGAGGUGCACAGGAGAUGGGAGACUGUCCCCCUUACCCCGGGUGUACGUGGACAUGACCGGCGCAAAAGGAGGGCCGGUCUGUAAAGUGAUGUAUUCUCGGGGCUGCCUCCAGGAGGUCUCGGUCCAGUAACCCCCGGGCUCACAGAGGUCUCUUCCUCACCCCCCAAACCCCUCCCCACCCAACAUGAAGCUGGAAUUGAUUCCUCCGCCGCGGACACCCGGACGAUCGCUUGCAUCACGUGGUGUACAGGUCGCAGUGGUGACAGGUUCGGAUGGCGUGUGUGCCAUGGAGGACAAGGAGUAGACAAAGGAGCCGGAGGACUGACUCACUGGCUACACCAUCCUUUCCCGCCCGCACCUCAUGCUGCACGUGUAGCAGAACUACUCAUCUGUGUGUGUGUGCGCGCGCACGUUGGAGCGAGAGAAGAGAACAGGAGAGCACGGAGAGAUAAGCGUUCGCACCCAGUGACUUUGAUGAAGACUGUAGCAGGGGAGGAGGCACAGCUCGGGGGGUAGCAGCAAGCCCCUGGCCCGCAGAAGGAAAGAGAAGGUGAAAAUGAAAGAGGAAGACAAGCAAGCAAUCACUCCGAUGUCUGUACGGCCAGCACAGGAGGAAGCAAGUGAUCAUAAAGGAGAGCUGGACGUGGCCAUCCCGCGACAACCGCCGGUCCUCCAUUUCCGCCAGGACUUGAAGACGAGGACGCCGCGGUGUCCGCCAUUGCUGCCAUUCUAGGGUGUGGUUGUCCACUCGUCUGCCAGACUCCUGUGUGUCAGAAGAUGAGAGCAGACCUCAGUGUCCUCCUGCUGAUGCUGUAGUACCGAGGGCUGCUGUCCUCCCUGCCUCCUUACCCUCCGUUCUCCUCCCCACCACCACCUCCCCACCACCAUAAAGCAGGCGCGUGCAGUGUCGUGCUGUCAGCAGCCAGCAUCGUUGUGGACCAGAGGUCAUUAUCGCGGCCUUGACCCGCAGUGUCUUUGUCGGCAGCGCAGCACUUCCGGUUUGUGGGAUGGAUAUUAUGGCGCCACUCAGCCAGGCUCCAUAUUGUAGUCGCCGCCGUCCUUCGGGUGUUUUUUUUAUUUGUUGGAACUUGUUCACAUCUGAACCUGCCAUCCACGCAAUAUCGUCAGUAGAAGAAGCUGAUGAUGACGAAGAUGAAGAGGGUUGAUGAUGAUGGUGUGUUUUUGUUACAAAAU
rnacentral:misc_RNA from 1 species